GUCCAUGCCUCCUAAACGAUGUCAACUAGCUGUUGGGGCCUUCGGGCCUUGGUAGCAGCUAACGGGCGUGAAGUUGACCGCCUGGGGAGUACGGCUGCAAGAUUAAAACUCAAAGGAAUUGAUUUGGACCUGCACAAGCGGUGGAUGAUGUGGAUUAAUUCGAUGCAACGGCGAAAACCUUACCUACCCUUGAGACAUGUCUCUGGAAUCCCGAAGAGACUGGGAGUGCUCGCAAGAGAACCGGAACACAGGUGUUGCAUGGCUGUCGUCAGCUGUGUCGUGAGAUGUUGGGUUAAGUCCUGCAACGCGCAACCCCCUUGUCAUUAGUUGCUACGAAAGGGGCACUCUAUCGAGACUGCUGGUGACAAACCGGAGGAAGGUGGGGAUGACGUCAAGUCCCUUUUUGGCCCUUAUGGGUAGGGCUUUCACACGUCAUACAAUGGUCGGGACAGAGUGGCCGCCAACCCGCGAGGGGGAGCCAAUCCCAGAAACCUGAUCGUAUCCGGAUCGCAGUCUGCAACUCGACUGCGUGAAGUCGGAAUCGCUAGUAAUCGCGGAUCAGCAUGUCGCGGUGAAUACGUUCCCGGGUCUUGUACACACCGCCCGUCACACCAUGGGAGUGGGUUUUACCAAGUAGUUAGCUCAACUGUAAGGAGGGCGAUUACCACGGUAGGAUUCAUGAUCGGGGUGAAGUCGUAACAAGGUAG
rnacentral:misc_RNA from 1 species